GGGGCACUUGUCUAGAGCACUUUUGGACCAGCAGGAGCGAACAGCUGAGACUUUGUAUGAUGGUGACUCACUGACAUUUCUGGGCCAGGCUAAACAACGCAGACACUUUACUCUAAGCUGGAAGCGGGGUGGAUAUGUGGAGUACCAAGGGGAGCCAAGGGCCAUCAUCCUCACUGUUGCAGUGAGCAAGUAGCCUCACCUCCCUGUGCCUGUUUUCUCAACUGUAAAGCGGCCUUACCAGUGUUCACUGACUCUCUUCCAUGGUACUACCGAGAGGUCAGCUCUUCCUGCAGGUCCAAGAGCCAGGGCUUUAAGAAGAGCACAAACGCCUUCUGUCGACAGAAUCUCCGCCCACUGAUUUCCUUCUCAUGGCUUAAUUGUCCCAGGAACUUGUUUUGCUUUUAGACUUCAGGUUCUUGAUAUGGCUGUGUGAAAUACUGGACUUGGGCCCUCUUAAUCUGUCUUUGGCCAUUGAUGAAAGGACACCUACAUACACACAGUUCCACAGAGGCACACCUUGUUGGCAUGCUGGAGGCCACAGUCGGAUUGGCUCACUUUCCCCCUUCAUGCCCAUCGACCCAGUGAGAGAGAACGAGUGUUUGUCUAGAUGGGCAAUGGAAGAGAGAGUGUGGCCAAGUCCAGGAAAGACAAGAAGGGGACACCGAUGGGACUUGUGACUGAUUCCACUCGGGAUGAGAGAGAACCACAGAGCUCCCCAGCACUGGAUAGAGCGACCAGGCUGUGGUGGGUUAUUGUCACUGCUGGGAUAGUUUCAGUCUGAAGUGUCCCCUCCAGGCUCAGGUUUUGAAUGCUUGAUUCCCCAGUUGGUGACAAUAUCUUGGGAGGCUCUAAAACUGUGGGAAGUGACACCUGGUUGGCAGAAGUCAGGAUGAGGCCUUCCAAUCUGGCUGGCUCCCUCUUCCCAGGUCCACCAUGACGUGCUCCACACGUUCCAGACAGAGCCACUCCGCCAUCUCUUCCCUGCUACAAUGGAUAUGUCCUCCCUUGAGUCACCUUCUCAGGUGUUUUAGUCACGAUGACGUAAAGGAACUGAUGCACGAUGCACAGGAGGGGACUUUGGCUCGGUGACCAGACAUGAGGGCUGAGGCCUUGUUCACACUGGGUCUGCUGAGGCUUCCCUGGAGAAGAGCAGGCUGCAUAGUGAGUUUCAGAUCUGAUGUCUCUCCUCUGACUCAGUCAUCGGUAGAAGAAAACCCACAUCUUCAGGAAGUGUGUGACACUCACCUGCCAGGAGAGCCAGGGCUGGAGAGGGAGCUCAGCACAUCCUCAGGAGCUUUUUCCAGCGUUAUGCCAUUUAGCAAACCGGCGCAAAGCAGGAGCCUGAGCAGGAACAAGACGCAGAGCCAGCACAGCCCGAAGAGUUUCCACAAGGGGCGGAUCCCCCACAAGGGGCGGAACCCCCGCAAGGG